rnacentral:rRNA from 1 species
GAUGAACGCUGGCGGCGUGCCUAAUACAUGCAAGUCGAGCGAACAGACGAGGAGCUUGCUCCUCUGACGUUAGCGGCGGACGGGUGAGUAACACGUGGAUAACCUACCUAUAAGACUGGGAUAACUUCGGGAAACCGGAGCUAAUACCGGAUAAUAUAUUGAACCGCAUGGUUCAAUAGUGAAAGACGGUUUUGCUGUCACUAAUAGAUGGAUCCGCGCCGCAUUAGCUAGUUGGUAAGGUAACGGCUUACCAAGGCAACGAUGCGUAGCCGACCUGAGAGGGUGAUCGGCCACACUGGAACUGAGACACGGUCCAGACUCCUACGGGAGGCAGCAGUAGGGAAUCUUCCGCAAUGGGCGAAAGCCUGACGGAGCAACGCCGCGUGAGUGAUGAAGGUCUUCGGAUCGUAAAACUCUGUUAUUAGGGAAGAACAAAUGUGUAAGUAACUAUGCACGUCUUGACGGUACCUAAUCAGAAAGCCACGGCUAGCUACGUG